rnacentral:rRNA from 1 species
GAUGAACGCUAGCGGCAGGCCUAACACAUGCAAGUCGAGGGGUAACAUUUGUGCUUGCACAAGAUGACGACCGGCGCACGGGUGCGCAACGCGUAUAGAACCUACCUCUUACUGGAGAAUAGCCCAGAGAAAUUUGGAUUAAUGCUCCAUGGUAUAUUUAGAAGGCAUCUUUUAGAUAUUAAAGGUUACGGUAAGAGAUGGCUAUGCGUCCCAUUAGUUAGUUGGUAAGGUAACGGCUUACCAAGGCAGCGAUGGGUAGGGGCCCUGAGAGGGGGAUCCCCCACACUGGUACUGAGACACGGACCAGACUCCUACGGGAGGCAGCAGUGAGGAAUAUUGGACAAUGGGCGAGAGCCUGAUCCAGCCAUGCCGCGUGUAGGAAGACUGCCCUAUGGGUUGUAAACUACUUUUAUACGGGAAGAAAAAAGGGUACGUGUACCCUACUGACGGUACCGUAAGAAUAAGGACCGGCUAACUCCG